rnacentral:rRNA from 1 species
UACGUAGGGUGCGAGCGUUGUCCGGAAUUAUUGGGCGUAAAGGGCUCGUAGGCGGUUUGUCGCGUCGGGAGUGAAAGUCCAGGGCUUAACUCUGGACUGGCUUCCGAUACGGGCAGACUAGAGGUAUGCAGGGGAGAACGGAAUUCCUGGUGUAGCGGUGAAAUGCGCAGAUAUCAGGAGGAACACCGGUGGCGAAGGCGGUUCUCUGGGCAUUACCUGACGCUGAGGAGCGAAAGUGUGGGGAGCGAACAGG